rnacentral:lncRNA from 1 species
UUUUUUGGCUCCUUUUAGAAACAGGUAACAGCUUGGAUCUGGGACAUUUGAGGCUUAAGCAGGACCAGUCUUGGCAAGAGUCAGGGAGGGUGCAGGCAUCCCUCUCCAUAAGUGCAGACAGCCUCCUGUCUCCCCUGCCUGCUGGGAGGAAGAUGUGCUCUGCUAAGGGGUGGUGUGGCUCACUGCCCCACCCUCUAGGCAGGGCUGUGGAAGGUGAGAGCCAGGAAGCUCUCUUCCCCUAACCCUCCUCCCAGGCCUGCUCUGCUGGUAUCAGAUUGGCCUGAAGCCCCAGGCCUGAUCAAAGAUGGCUGAGUCUCAGUGUGGCUGGUUGAGCCUUUUAACUCUUGGUUGGUUCAUUUACUCUUAGUCUUUUGUUUUUUGUUUGUUUGGUUUUGCUCAUUUUGACAUCACUGCCUUUUAGAAAUAUUUCUUCAGGUUUUAGAAUUAAAUGUUUCCCACGUUCUCCAGCUUUCCUUUCUGUCCAAAGGGCAUUUGACCUGUCCACACUUACAAAGGGAACGGGCGGGGCUGACGCAUCCGUAGGCUUCUGGAUGGGAACUCUUUUCGCCGUUUCUGUUUUAUAAUAUGAAUCACUGUAAAACUCUAAGACUUGGCUAAUCACAGAAAAGAUUGUGGCUUCAGUGUUUUCUCUGAAGGCUUUGUGACUGGUUUCCAGAGCCUCACACAUGCCUGGAAGGGUCAUCUCGCACAGCGUGGGCUCAGCAAGCUCCUGGGCUGCGCACAGGGGCCAAGCUGUUCCCUGCAGGAGGAAAAGAGUUUUCCAGACGGCCCGUCCUGCUUCUAUCCCCAUUUAAAGGAACGUGCAGUCUCCGGUCAGCUGGGAAUGCCGUGCGGAUCCUGUCAGAGCUCCUGCAGCUCAGCUGCCUUUACUGUCCUUUAAAGAUGUAAAGAUGUUGUACAGAACUGUUUCCUCUCCCGACACUUGGAUUUGCCCAGCUUAGUGCAUUUAAAUACUUUUAUUUAUUUAUUUGUUUGGGACAGUAUUAAUAUAUAUGAACAUAUAGUCACUGUUUUAUAUAUUCUUAGCUUAUUCAAAGCCAUGUAUGCUGUAAAUGUGCUUGUCUUUAGAAUGAUAAAUAAUAAAACUGACAAGAACAUU